AGGUUCGACUCGAGCGAAGCGAGAGAACGUUGCGUCAGCAACGGCCCGCAGGGCGAGCCACGAAGUGGUGAGUCAUCCUCUAUCACCGACCA
rnacentral:sRNA from 2 species